rnacentral:rRNA from 1 species
AUUGAACGCUGGCGGCAGGCCUAACACAUGCAAGUCGAGCGGAUGAAGGGAGCUUGCUCCUGGAUUCAGCGGCGGACGGGUGAGUAAUGCCUAGGAAUCUGCCUGGUAGUGGGGGAUAACGUCCGGAAACGGGCGCUAAUACCGCAUACGUCCUGAGGGAGAAAGUGGGGGAUCUUCGGACCUCACGCUAUCAGAUGAGCCUAGGUCGGAUUAGCUAGUUGGUGGGGUAAAGGCCUACCAAGGCGACGAUCCGUAACUGGUCUGAGAGGAUGAUCAGUCACAUGGGAACUGGGACACGUGCCAGACUCCUAGGGGAGGCAGCGGGGGGGAAUUUUGGAAAAGGGGGGAAAGCCUGACCCAGCCAGGCCGGGGGGGUGAAGGGGGUUUUCGGUUUGGAAAGCACUUUAGGUUGGGAGGAAGGGCAGUAAGUUAAAACCUGGCUUUUUUGCCGUUACCAAAAAAAAAAGCCCCGGCUAACUUCGU